GACGAACGCUGGCGGCGUGCUUAACACAUGCAAGUCGAGCGAGGUCCAUCCGGUGGCAACACCGGGGAAGACCGAGCGGCGAACGGGUGAGUAACACGUGAGCAACCUGCCCCGAAGACUGGGAUAACACCGGGAAACCGGUGCUAAAACCGGAUGCCCUCCUCUGGUCGCAUGGCCGAAAGGAGGAAAAGAUUCUGCUUCGGGAGGGGCUCGCGGGCUAUCAGCUUGUUGGUGGGGUAACGGCNCACCAAGGCGACGACGGCUAGCUGGUCUGAGAGGACGACCAGCCACACUGGGACUGAGACACGGCCCAGACUCCUACGGGAGGCAGCAGUAGGGAAUCUUGCGCAAUGGGCGAAAGCCUGACGCAGCAACGCCGCGU
rnacentral:rRNA from 1 species